rnacentral:rRNA from 1 species
ACAGCAGUCGCCGCGGGAAUACGUAGGGUGCAAGCGUUAAUCGGAAUUACUGGGCGUAAAGCGAGCGCAGACGGUUACUUAAGCAGGAUGUGAAAUCCCCGGGCUUAACCUGGGAACUGCGUUCUGAACUGGGUAGCUAGAGUAUGUCAGAGGGGGGUAGAAUUCCACGUGUAGCAGUGAAAUGCGUAGAGAUGUGGAGGAAUACCGAUGGCGAAGGCAGCCUCCUGGGAUAACACUGACGUUCAUGCCCGAAAGCGUGGGUAGCAAACAGGAUUAGAUACCCGCGUAGUCCCUGUCUCUUAUAC